CGUCAGUUUUCUGCCUUAACAUUUAGUUCUAGUCAUUUUGCAUACCCCUUUUCACAUUUGGCUGUUGAUCCUAAAAUGGACCAGAAGCAAAUCAUUAAGAUAAAAAAUAUUUUUAGUCUUCCAUGUGACAGAGAAGAUUGUGGGAAGCGUGCUGAGUUUCGAAGGAAUCCGACUGGUUUGACGGUUUCCAGGUCCUUGGGAAUUCUGGAAGAGCUCGGGAGGUCACAGAGUGAUGGCGGUGCUCUUCAUCCCAGUGGAGGUGGAUUUCCAGACAAUCCAGAUGGUCUGACUUUUCUCCUACAAUGCCUCCCUCGGGCGUGGGGCAACCGGGGGCCUCGGCCUGUGCCCCCAAAAAGGAAGAGCAAGGAGAUGCAGCUAGUGUGCUCGUGUCCCAAGGGCAAGAGGCUGGAGGGACUUCCUCUGGAGAAGCAGCGUGGGAGACGCAUCUGCAGAGCCUCAUUCUGAGAGCACAGGGCAGAGAAUCGCCUGCUGCUGUCUGGAGGGCCCAGCUGGGGUGCUGGGCUGGUGGGGGGUUCCUAAAGGAAGGAGCAUGUGGGUCCCUGGCACUCUUUGCUGUCACCCUCUCUGUGAGGGCACAGGAACCCCAAUUCCUGGUGAGCUAAGUUCCCAGAAGUGGGAGACGAGGCCCCCCACCCUGCAGAGAGGGAGCCCCUCAGAGGGGUGGCCACCCUCGGCAGUGACUGCGAAGAUGUGAGGAGACAGCCAAGGGGCUGAAGUGUGGCCAGCAGGCUGCCUGUGCGGCCUUCCCCCGGCAAUCACUGUUUACUUUGGACGCUGGCUGUCCCCACAAUCCACACAUGAGAUUUAUCACCAGAAGCUAGUCACUCAGGCUGUAAUACUAACAAACUUCUCAAACACAAGCCGUCACCUCCCAGGCGAGAAGCGGAGGAUGUGAAAGGAGGAAUAGUGCCCAUUCUGCAGCUCUAUAUUCAACAGCGUUGGUAUCUCAUCCUCAUAAUUGGGGGGACAGCCUGAAAUUUUAAGCUGUGUGCCUGCUCCCUGGAUUUUCUGUUCUCCUCAUUGUAAUCUGGAAGCCAAGCCUGUAAUUUCUUGAGUGGGGAUUUUAGCAAAACAGAAAGCAGAUGGCAAUUCUAGAGCAGUAGAAGUCUCUAUUCUUCUAGAGGUCAGGACAGGAAGAGUGUCCUUGAGGAGCAGUAAGACAGGAAGUAGAAGUUCCUGGAAGUGGAAAGGAAAUGACAAGACUCCAGAGAGGAAUGGCUCAGUGGUUACAGUCUCACAAAAGAUUCCUGGAGCCCAGGCUCAGCCCCGCAGGGCAUAAAGAGAAUGGGCAGACAGGUGUAAGGAGAGACCACGUAGAACAGGAGGGGCCUCCUUAAUGCCCGAAUACUUAAAACCCUGGGACAAGGCUGAGCCUUUAAAAUGAGUAGGUUGAAAAUUUCUACUAGUCAAGUAUAGUGGAGGUUCCGAUGAGCUUUCUUUGCCAGUAGAAACAGCCCUUCCACCACCGACGGCACAACCUGAGGAAGUCCCAGCAGGCUCA